AUACAACCAAGUAUUGUUGUUAACACACAUACUGACAUUACCUUCUUCUCAUCUAUCACAUAACUCACAAUACAGAGUGAGAAUAUUUUCUGUGCCUUGGAGAAUUGUCAUAUUCCAUAUUCCUUUCUAAGUUUAGAUCAGUUUCCAAUGUUUUCACAUAAGCUUUGCACCUUCAACAUUAUGAAAUGUCUCCAAGAGGAAGUUUUGUGGCAGUGUCACUCCCUCUGGGAUAUCUUCAUUCUUUUUCUCACAACCACUCUCCUCAUUUAUGUCAAAAAAUUCAGCUUCACUAGACUCCUCUGGCUUCAUAUCUGGAGUCUAUUGCACCAUGGCAGUGUUAGCAUUCCCACGGUUAGCUGUUUCUUCCAUAACUCCAUUUACUUUGACUUCAAUUUCACUUCCAGCAUUAUUACCUCCUUUCUUUUCUUUACUUUCAUUCUUCAUCAGUUCAUUCACUUUUUCAAUUAUCCACUUUUUGAAAACGUCAUAUAGGUUUACCUCUGAGAGGCAAAGCAACAACACAACUACAUGCUUUUGCUGUCUGUGCAUGAACUGACUAAAAGAUGCCUAUGGGCUAAUCACUG
rnacentral:lncRNA from 10 species